CUUCCCGGUCUACUGACAUUUGUUAAGACAUCUGCUUUAAACAUAACGAUGCUCAUGAUAACUUUCAUUUACUCUACAACUAGUAAAUCCACUUCACCAGCUAAUUAUUCUUUGACAGCGAUGCCAUGGAAAUAUACAGGGCUGCCGUUCUGUAUAAAAUGACAUGAUGUAAAAUGAUCUAAAAAUAUUCACACCCUUGAUAUUAGUAUUAGGGGCUAUGUGUAUGUGAUACUAAGUUGUCCAUUACUACUCUCACAAGUAGCUGCAAUAUGUUAUGUUUCCAUUGACAACAUAAAAGUGUGUUUAGAGAGCAAUGAAAAAGAACAAAAGCUUAGAUCUACUUUUAAAUAUUUUCCUUAUUAAUUUGUUCAUGAAAUAAUGACUGUUUUGAAUGUCAUGGUUUGUACUUAUAUUGAUGUAUUCUUCUUCCUAACAGUUCUUUGUACAUUUCUCUCAUUUGGAAAAGCUUGUGGCCCUAGUAAAUAUAAAUCUGCUGUUGGAGGAGAGUGUUGUCCGAUGUGCUAUAUGGGGUCAGUGGUCUUAUAUGACUGUUUUGGGAAUUCUGCUACUAUAUGCAAACGCUGCACUCAAGGAACAUUCAUGAGUGAACCCAGUUGUCUUUGUGAAUGCUUCACAUGCAGAAACUGUUGAAAAUCAAGGCCUUUACAUUUAGAGUAAAUGCACUACAAUAACUGACACCAUCUGUGAUGUGCUUGAUGGAAAUUACUGCACUGAGUACUCCAAUUCACAGUGCCUUCAUGCUCUAAAACACAGUGUUUGUGCACCAGGACAAGAAACAAAAACUCCAGGAACAAAGUCAACAGAUACAGUUUGUUUGAACUGCCCUCAUGGGUUUUAUUCUCCAUCAGGUCUGAACUGCAUCAAAUGGACUGAUUGUACAGCUAGAAAUUAAAUACAGACAGAAAAUGGCUCUGUAAAAGAUGUCACAUGCACACCAAAAAUACGGGAAAGAUAUGGUCUCAUAUUUGCAUUGGUUUUAACAUCACCGUUCGACAUAAUUCUACUCCUGAUCUCACUGAGCACAAGUGCGUAUAUGCAGUAUUCAUCUGAAUUUAAUUUUUAACCUACUGAAUUUAACCUAGCGCAGAAUGUUUUGAUUUGUUUGAUGGAAUUUUACUGAAACCUGUAUAGAAAAAAUUAAUUAUAAUGAAUUAAUAUCAUUCUGAUUUUAUAGAGAUCAGGUUUAAUAAUCCUGAUUUUUAUUUUGUUAUUCUCAUUUAGUUUGUUAAUAGGGCCAAUAAAUGUCUCUGUAAUAUACAUACAGAAUGUAUUUUAGCUGUGCAGAGUGCAAAGACCUUUUCAGAAUAUUAUGUUUGUUGCACUGUUAUACUUGUUUGUAUUUUCACCAAAAAUAUUUUCUCUUUUUAUAAGAUUAUAAACUUAAAGUGCUUUACAACACAACCCAUAUGCAGCACACUGAGGAAAAUCAAUGAGGGACAAUGGUUGUUUCCAAAAAAAUCUGUCACUUCACCUGUUGGAUCUUCAUGCCUCAAUCUAUGCAUGUUUCAAUCUCUCCAAUGGUCCAUUCAUUAUGGGAGUGUGACAACAUUUGAGUCUCCUCCGUGUGCUGUGACCUUGAAGUGGUGGAGAAGCUUGAGUUCCUCCAGGAACUUAUCCCAGUGGAAGCUUUUACUUUUUCAAAAGCAGAUUCAACUGCACCAGGGUAAUACCAGGAAGGCAGACAAACAAAAGCAAGCUACAGCUCUAGAGUAAACAUGUAUGAACAUUUUGUUGUACAAUAUAAAUCUUGAGGGAACUAGGGGCGAAUUAGUCUUCCAGGUUUUCACAUCAUCCCUGCACCACUCUAUAUCAUUAAAAGACCAGCUCAUCUCUGAUACAACAACAAAUAGACUGCAAAAAGUGUUUCAUGAUACAGCUAAAAUGGAAAAGGCCACAUACAAAUAAAAGUUUACAAAUCACAAGUCUCAAUUAUAACAAUUGUUACAUUUAUAUAGCGCUUUUCUCAGCACUCAAAGUGCUUUACGUAUGGAAGGGGGGAAUCUCCUCAAGCACCACCAAUGUGCAGCAUCCACCUGGGUGAUAUGACGGCAGCCAAUGUGCACCAGAACACCCACCACACACCUGCUUAUUGGUGAAAGAGUGAUUAAACCAUUCCCCAAGUGCAGCAUGGGGAUGAUUAGGACUAGGAGGCCAUGAUUAUGGCUUAUUACACCCCUACUCUUUUUCGAAGCACAUCCUAGGAUUUUUUAUGACCACAGAGUCAGGACCUCGGUUUAAAUUCUCAUCCGAAGGGUGGUGCUUUUUGAGAGUAUAGUAUCCCCAUCACCCAGACUGUGAGCAGCCCCUGUUGGCCUCACUAACACUUUUUCCAGCAGCAAACUAGUUUUUCCCAGGCGGUCUCUCAUCCAGGUACUGACCGGGCGACCAAGACAGAGCUGCAGAGUCAUAGCUGCUGGAAAAUGGACAGAUGCAUAUUUUAACAAUAACUUUGUUUUGUAUUAUAUUGUUGGUGGAUCUAAAAUUGUCAAUAUUAAUAUUCAUGCAUUUUAUUAAUAUUUAUGUUAAUCGUUUAUGGCUUAUGAUUUAUCACUUUUACUUUUGAUUUCAUAUAUUUAUGUACUCAUACUUUAUAUAUAAUCCUCAUAUUUUCAAGUACACUUUAUUGUACUCUUAUGGUCAUUAUUCUUUUAUAUUUCAGAGUAUGUAUGCUUGUUAUGUUCAAUUGUUCUUUAAAGUGUUCCAGUGUGACAGGUCACGUUGACACGUUUGUGGUUAGAUAUUGGACGCCUGCCAAGUACUGCAGAAGUGAUGUUUUUCAGAAUUAGUUGCUCAUUUGAAUCUGAUCAAAAUAUGUCUGUUAUUAUUUCUGCUAACAUUUGAUAGUGUAAUAUUUGCAAAAUUCCCUAGGGGGUCAAAACAACUUUUAUAUCUAUUUUUUUGGCAUCUGACCAGUUUAUGAUAUAAUGGGUAAAACCAUUUAACCUUUCCUUAUUAGAACAAAAACAUCAGUUUGAGUGGGAUGUAAAUUUCCCUAUAUGCUUAUGGUAUAAAGUUGACAUUGACAAAGUUGAGUCAUGGAUAAUUUAGCUUUUUCUCCUUUGCUUUUUCCUUUGCUCUUCUGCUUCUUCUCUCCUAUCUGCAAAUGUCUUAAUUAUUGUUCUUUCUUUUUGUAUAUUCUGAUAUUCAUCUAUUAGAUACAAUACUCAGA